rnacentral:rRNA from 1 species
GAUGAACGCUGGCGGCGUGCCUAAUACAUGCAAGUCGAGCGAACGGACGAGAAGCUUGCUUUUCUGAUGUUAGCGGCGGACGGGUGAGUAACACGUGGAUAACCUACCUAUAAGACUGGGAUAACUUCGGGAAACCGGAGCUAAUACCGGAUAAUAUUUUGAACCGCAUGGUUCAAAAGUGAAAGACGGUCUUGCUGUCACUUAUAGAUGGAUCCGCGCUGCAUUAGCUAGUUGGUAAGGUAACGGCUUACCAAGGCAACGAUGCAUAGCCGACCUGAGAGGGUGAUCGGCCACACUGGAACUGAGACACGGUCCAGACUCCUACGGGAGGCAGCAGUAGGGAAUCUUCCGCAAUGGGCGAAAGCCUGACGGAGCAACGCCGCGUGAGUGAUGAGGGUCUUCGGAUCGUAAAACUCUGUUAUCAGGGAAGAACAUAUGUGUAAGUAACUGUGCACAUCUUGACGGUACCUAAUCAGAAAGCCACGGCUAACUACGUG